GGAACGUUGAAGACGACGACGUUGAUAGGCCGGAUGUGUAAGCGCAGCGAUGCGUUGAGCUAACCGGUACUAAUGAACCGUGAGGCUUAACCUUACAACGCCGAAGGUGUUU
rnacentral:rRNA from 1 species